rnacentral:rRNA from 1 species
GAGUUUGAUCAUGGCUCAGAUUGAACGCUGGCGGCAGGCCUAACACAUGCAAGUCGAACGGUAACAGGAAACAGCUUGCUGUUUCGCUGACGAGUGGCGGACGGGUGAGUAAUGUCUGGGAAACUGCCUGAUGGAGGGGGAUAACUACUGGAAACGGUAGCUAAUACCGCAUAACGUCGCAAGACCAAAGAGGGGGACCUUCGGGCCUCUUGCCAUCAGAUGUGCCCAGAUGGGAUUAGCUAGUAGGUGGGGUAACGGCUCACCUAGGCGACGAUCCCUAGCUGGUCUGAGAGGAUGACCAGCCACACUGGAACUGAGACACGGUCCAGACUCCUACGGGAGGCAGCAGUGGGGAAUAUUGCACAAUGGGCGCAAGCCUGAUGCAGCCAUGCCGCGUGUAUGAAGAAGGCCUUCGGGUUGUAAAGUACUUUCAGCGGGGAGGAAGGGAGUAAAGUUAAUACCUUUGCUCAUUGACGUUACCCGCAGAAGAAGCACCGGCUAACUCCGUGCCAGCAGCCGCGGUAAUACGGAGGGUGCAAGCGUUAAUCGGAAUUACUGGGCGUAAAGCGCACGCAGGCGGUUUGUUAAGUCAGACGUGAAAUCCCCGGGCUCAACCUGGGAACUGCAUCUGAUACUGGCAAGCUUGAGUCUCGUAGAGGGGGGUAGAAUUCCAGGUGUAGCGGUGAAAUGCGUAGAGAUCUGGAGGAAUACCGGUGGCGAAGGCGGCCCCCUGGACGAAGACUGACGCUCAGGUGCGAAAGCGUGGGGAGCAAACAGGAUUAGAUACCCUGGUAGUCCACGCCGUAAACGAUGUCGACUUGGAGGUUGUGCCCUUGAGGCGUGGCUUCCGGAGCUAACGCGUUAAGUCGACCGCCUGGGGAGUACGGCCGCAAGGUUAAAACUCAAAUGAAUUGACGGGGGCCCGCACAAGCGGUGGAGCAUGUGGUUUAAUUCGAUGCAACGCGAAGAACCUUACCUGGUCUUGACAUCCACGGAAGUUUUCAGAGAUGAGAAUGUGCCUUCGGGAACCGUGAGACAGGUGCUGCAUGGCUGUCGUCAGCUCGUGUUGUGAAAUGUUGGGUUAAGUCCCGCAACGAGCGCAACCCUUAUCCUUUGUUGCCAGCGGUCCGGCCGGGAACUCAAAGGAGACUGCCAGUGAUAAACUGGAGGAAGGUGGGGAUGACGUCAAGUCAUCAUGGCCCUUACGACCAGGGCUACACACGUGCUACAAUGGCGCAUACAAAGAGAAGCGACCUCGCGAGAGCAAGCGGACCUCAUAAAGUGCGUCGUAGUCCGGAUUGGAGUCUGCAACUCGACUCCAUGAAGUCGGAAUCGCUAGUAAUCGUGGAUCAGAAUGCCACGGUGAAUACGUUCCCGGGCCUUGUACACACCGCCCGUCACACCAUGGGAGUGGGUUGCAAAAGAAGUAGGUAGCUUAACCUUCGGGAGGGCGCUUACCACUUUGUGAUUCAUGACUGGGGUGAAGUCGUAACAAGGUAACCGUAGGGGAACCUGCGGUUG